AAAAAUGAAUGGCUCUGAAGAUAAAUUCAGGUUUUUUCCUCGGCAGGGACAUUAACAUUGCUGUCUGUUGUCACUCUCCAGACGACAUGCUCGGCUCCAGACUCGAACAGGUCUGUAUAUUAUAAAUGUAUUGAACAAAGGCUUUCAGAGAAGAGUGCCUUUGGUUAUGUGCAUUUGCAUAGGCAUACUGAAAUUUAGGAAGAAAUUCUCUACUCAGAAGAUGGUGAGGCACUGGCACAAGCUGGCACGGGCUGCCUAGAGAAGCUGUGGAUGCCCCAUCCCUGGAGGCUUAUUUUCCAUUGCUCAAUAAAAAAUUCCAACAGAAGAAUCAUUCACAAUACCAGCAAGAAGGAGAAGAACAUACAGUGCAAUUCUCUGGAAAGAGGGCUGUCCUGACUACAGCAUCAUGAUAAACAUCUGGGCUGCAAAACUGAACAGUGUGUUGGCUGUCCCCAUCCUAAGAGCUGUUUGUGUCCCAGUCAUGAUACCAACAAGUCAGAAGGCUCUCUGAUGGCUCCUCCACAUCUGCUUGAAUUGGGGAAACUGUCUCUGACUAGCACCCAUCUCUCCAGUGUGUUGCAAGCGUCUACACAAAGACAAGGCUUUCACCCCCGGUUCCGCCUUUGCAAUCUCAUUGCAGGCAGUAUGUACCGCCAGCGUCCUCUAGUAUUUACUGGUGUUCAUUGCACUAGGGCACUGGGGGAGAAUGUAUAUGGAAAUGUACAUGGAGAUGUAUAUGGAAAUGUACCCCACUGUAGGGCACAAACUUCAACUCUGCCACUUCUUUUGGGGGAGGUAGGAGGUUAAUGUCAGCAAGUAGUGCAUUUAAUAGUACAGAAAAAGAAUGUUGUUGCAGUGGUUCAGAGGAACAGCUCGUCUGGUGUGGGAGCCUCUCCCAACAGCAGCACUCUCAAAAUUUACAAAGGAAGCUGUGAAAGGUCCAAACAUGGCAGGUACAGGAAAAUCUAACAGCAGGAAAUGUUCCUUCAUUCAGUAUUAAUUUCAUUAAUUAAUUAAUUCAGUAUUUUAAAACUUUUUUUUUUUUUUGACCAUUCUGAACCCCAAAGUAGUACUUAUAGCCACUGAAAAAAGACAUUUUUUGUAGUCUUUAUUUGUCUAGUUUCCUAAUAGUGCACUCUAACCAUGUUUUUAUCUCCGGAUGUCCCUUCCAUUUAUAUUCAUAAAUGAUAGUAUUUUGUAUGCUUCUAAGCUCAUAACUUGAUUUGAUUUCAGUUGCAGUGGAAAGUAUUGAAAAAUAUGCUCAAGACUAUGGCAAUUACUACAGUAGGUGGCACUACAACUUAAGUCAAACAAGCAAGUCAGCUGAGCUGGGAUCUUACAACCCUCUGCAUAAUAGGAUUCUUUGUGCAAUUUUAAAGAACAUUCCAACAAACAAAGUAAGGAUCAGGCAUUUGGCAUGCAUCUGUGUUGGGGCCCAAUUCCACUUUUAGGUUUUCAGGUCAAAUUAUUUCCUUAGGAAAACUCUGAAUCAUGUAUUUGCAUAAUAGUUCUUUCCAUCUGCUUGCAUUUCCUCAGUUUAGAUUUUUUUUAUCUGUUCCUUACAAUAUUUCAACUGAAGAAAAAAAAAACAUAUAUCUUGUUUUCUUUAUUAAAUUCUGUGAAAACCUUUGGAUU
rnacentral:lncRNA from 7 species